rnacentral:tRNA from 1 species
AGAAGCUUAGGUUAAUAUAGACCAAGAGCCUUCAAAGCUCUAAGUAAAUAGCAAAUAUUUAGCUUCUG